UACGGCAGUAUCAGUUUGAAACACCAGUUCCCGUACGAUCACCGGAGUUGAGCAACGUCAAGCUUGGUCAGUACUUAGAUGGGUGACUGCUAGGUAAUACAA